UCUGAAUGUUGACCUCGGAUCAGGUAGGAAUACCCGCUGAACUUAAGCAUAUCAAUAAGCGGA
rnacentral:rRNA from 1 species